rnacentral:rRNA from 1 species
AGCAGCCGCGGUAAUACAGAGGGUGCGAGCGUUAAUCGGAUUUACUGGGCGUAAAGCGUGCGUAGGCGGCUUCUUAAGUCGGAUGUGAAAUCCCUGAGCUUAACUUAGGAAUUGCAUUCGAUACUGGGAAGCUAGAGUAUGGGAGAGGAUGGUAGAAUUCCAGGUGUAGCGGUGAAAUGCGUAGAGAUCUGGAGGAAUACCGAUGGCGAAGGCAGCCAUCUGGCCUAAUACUGACGCUGAGGUACGAAAGCAUGGGGAGCAAACAGGAUUAGAUACCCGGGUAGUCCCUGUCUCUUAUACA